CGAACGGGUGAGUAACACGUGGGCAACCUGCCCAAAAGAGGGGGAUAACACUUGGAAACAGGUGCUAAUACCGCAUAACCAUAGUUACCGCAUGGUAACUAUGUAAAAGGUGGCUAUGCUACCGCUUUUGGAUGGGCCCGCGGCGCAUUAGCUAGUUGGUGGGGUAAAGGCUUACCAAGGCAAUGAUGCGUAGCCGAACUGAGAGGUUGAUCGGCCACAUUGGGACUGAGACACGGCCCAAACUCCUACGGAAGGCAGCAG
rnacentral:rRNA from 1 species